CAGGCCUAACACAUGCAAGUCGUGGGGCAGCAUGAGUAGCAAUACUUGAUGGCGACCGGCAAACGGGUGCGGAACACGUACACAACCUUCCGAUAAGUGGGGAAUAGCCCAGAGAAAUUUGGAUUAAUACCCCGUAACAUAUAGAGUAGGCAUCUUCUUUAUAUUAUAGCUUCGGCGCUUAUUGAUGGGUGUGCGUCUGAUUAGGUAGUUGGCGGGGUAACGGCCCACCAAGCCUACGAUCAGUAGCUGAUGUGAGAGCAUGAUCAGCCACACGGGCACUGAGACACGGGCCCGACUCCUACGGGAGGCAGCAGUAAGGAAUAUUGGACAAUGGGCGAAAGCCUGAUCCAGCCAUGCCGCGUGAAGGAUUAAGGUCCUCUGGAUUGUAAACUUCUUUUAUUUGGGACGAAAAAAGGGAAUUCUUUCCCACUUGACGGUACCAAGUGAAUAAGCACCGGCUAACUCCGUGCCAGCAGCCGCGGUAAUACGGAGGGUGCAAGCGUUAUCCGGAUUCACUGGGUUUAAAGGGUGCGUAGGCGGGUAUGUAAGUCAGUGGUGAAAUCUCGGAGCUUAACUCCGAAACUGCCAUUGAUACUAUAUAUCUUGAAUAUUGUGGAGGUUUGCGGAAUAUGUCAUGUAGCGGUGAAAUGCUUAGAUAUGACAUAGAACACCUAUUGCGAAGGCAGCAGGCUACACAUAUAUUGACGCUGAGGCACGAAAGCGUGGGGAUCAAACAGGAUUAGAUACCCU
rnacentral:rRNA from 1 species